UCACGCAAGAGUCGCCGGGCUCUCGGCCCCGCUGGCGGGGAGGACUGGCAAGGCAGAAGGGAUAAAGGCGAAAACAAGGAAACCAUGGUUUCAGGCGGAUCAUGGACAGAAAGGCCUUGUGUUUGACCCGAGCACAUUUCUUGGAAAGAAAUUCUUAAUAUUGUGUGAGCGCUCAUCCUCAAUUCAACGUACCCCAAGCCAAGUUAAAGGCACAUUCAGUUUAAUACUAAUGAGCGCCUACACAGUAAAAAGCACUGCACCAGGAGCUAUGAAAAAUAGAAAGUGGGCUUAAGUUUCAGGCCUGCAGGAGCAUAAGAUCUGUGAGAGGUACAUAAAUGGAUCCAAGCAAGUGCUGUAAGAGAUACACAUUGUUAUAGGAACACAGAGACCUGGGCAAGAGAAGUUUGAACAGAAUUUUCAGAAGUAUCCCAUAGAUGUUUGUGAUUGUGAAAGAAACGGUCUUCGUACUUGCGAUAGCGUGAUCUAGUGGUUAAGAUCGUAGAGAUGCCAACCUCUGCAUCAGGCUAGUUAAGAGUCAACAGAAUGAGAUUGAGCAUCCAGCCUUAAUAGAGUUGAAGAGGAGUUAAAGAGCUAGGGAGCUGCACACCUGAUUAAACUGGGUCAGCCACAUCAUUCUAUGAGGAGGGGAAGGAGAAAAAAAAGAAAGAAAGAAAAAAACUUUACUUCAACCAGCACAUGGUUUAUGCUUGUUAUCCCAGUGCUUUGGGAGUCUGUUGCACGAGGAUCACUUCAGCCCAGGGGU
rnacentral:lncRNA from 1 species